GAUGAAGAACGUAGCGAAAUGCGAAAAGUAAUGUGAAUUGCAGAAUUCAGUGAACCAUCGAAUCUUUGAACGCACAUUGCGCCCGCUGGAACUCCGGCGGGCACGCCUGUCCGAGCGUCAUUUCAACCCUCAGGCCCCCCUUCGCGGGCGGGCCUGGUGUUGGGGCCCGGCCGCUACCCUGCGGCCGUCCCCUAAAUUCAGUGGCGGCCUCGCCGUGAUCCCUUGCGUAGUAAUGCACCUCGCACCGGAGAGCGCUGUGGCCACGCCGUAAAACCCCCAAUUUUCAAUGGUUGACCUCGGAUCAGGUGGGAAUACCCGCUGAACUUAAGCAUAUCAAUAAGCGGAGGA
rnacentral:misc_RNA from 1 species